rfam:Tribolium castaneum strain Georgia GA2 unplaced genomic scaffold scaffold_seqid814, whole genome shotgun sequence.
GGUGCCGCAGGGCUCGUCAUGGGGUAGCUAGCGUGUGAUUAACAGCCAGCUGCCUUUUGAAGGGCUAUAUGGCAUU